rnacentral:rRNA from 1 species
UACGGGGGGGGCAAGCGUUGUUCGGAAUUACUGGGCGUAAAGGGCUCGUAGGUGGCCAACUAAGUCAUACGUGAAAUCCCUCAGCUUAACUGGGGAACUGCGUCUGAUACUGGAUGGCCUGAGUUUGGGAGAGGGAUGCGGAAUUCCAGGUGUAGCGGUGAAAUGCGCAGAUAUCAGGAGGAACACCGGUGGCGAAGGCGGUUCUCUGGGCAUUACCUGACGCUGAGGAGCGAAAGUGUGGGGAGCGAACAGG